AACGAACGCUGGCGGCAGGCCUAAUACAUGCAAGUCGAGCGGUAAGGCCCUUUCGGGGGUACACGAGCGGCGAACGGGUGAGUAACACGUGGGUGACCUGCCCUCAGCUCUGGGAUAAGCCUGGGAAACCGGGUCUAAUACCGGAUAUGACUCCAUGACGCAUGUUGUGGGGUGGAAAGCCUUGUGCGGCUGAGGAUGGGCCCGCGGCCUAUCAGCUUGUUGGUGGGGUGAUGGCCUACCAAGGCGACGACGGUAGCCGGCCUGAGAGGGCGACCGGCCACACUGGGACUGAGACACGGCCCAGACUCCUACGGGAGGCAGCAGUGGGGAAUCUUGCGCAAUGGGCGAAAGCCUGACGCAGCGACGCCGCGUGAGGGAU
rnacentral:rRNA from 1 species